rnacentral:rRNA from 1 species
GAUGAACGCUGGCGGCGUGCCUAAUACAUGCAAGUCGAGCGAACAGACGAGGAGCUUGCUCCUCUGACGUUAGCGGCGGACGGGUGAGUAACACGUGGAUAACCUACCUAUAAGACUGGGAUAACUUCGGGAAACCGGAGCUAAUACCGGAUAAUAUAUUGAACCGCAUGGUUCAAUAGUGAAAGACGGUUUUGCUGUCACUUAUAGAUGGAUCCGCGCCGCAUUAGCUAGUUGGUAAGGUAACGGUUUACCAAGGCAACGAUGCGUAGCCGACCUGAGAGGGUGAUCGGCCACACUGGAACUGAGACACGGUCCAGACUCCUACGGGAGGCAGCAGUAGGGAAUCUUCCGCAAUGGGCGAAAGCUUGACGGAGCAACGCCGCGUGAGUGAUGAAGGUCUUCGGAUCGUAAAACUCUGUUAUUAGGGAAGAACAAAUGUGUAAGUAACUAUGCACGUCUUGACGGUACCUAAUCAGAAAGCCACGGCUAACUACGU